AGUUCUGGGCAAUCUGACUGAGACAUCUGUCACCCCACUGAUCGCCAGGUUUGAUUUGGCUGAUCUGGCUGGCUAGGCGGGUGCCCCCUUUCUCCCUCACUGCUCCACGUGCGUACCUGCCGAAGCUGCGUGCUUGGUUGAAGAGGACGGCCUUCCUUGAAUAGUGAUGGACCGGUCUUCAAUUGACGGUAUAGGAGUAGCAGCACUCCCCUGCUAGAACCUCCAAACAAACAAGCUCCCUAAACAAAUAACAACGAUAAUUUUAGUGUGUACAAGCCAAAUGCAAACUGAAAAAAUACAGAGGUGGAAAUAUUAAGAUAUGGUUAGAGGUCUAAGAC
rnacentral:snRNA from 1 species